GCAUAUCAAUAAGCGGAGGAAAAGAAAAUAACAAUGAUUCCCCUAGUAACUGCGAGUGAAGAGGGACAAGCUCAAAUUUUAAAUCUGUCGGGUUUUACCUGACCGAGUUGUAAUUUGAAGAGGCGUUUUCUGCGUAUUUGGUCAGCCCAAGUCCUAUUGAAUGAGGCAUCAUGGAGGGUGAUAAUCCCGUCCGGUUGAUCAUUGCGUUCUACGAUACGCUUUCUAAGAGACAAGUUGUUUGGGAUUGCAGCUUAAAAUGGGAGGUAAAUUUCUCCUAAGGCUAAAUAACGGCGAGAGACCGAUAGCGAACAAGUACCGUGAGGGAAAGAUGAAAAGAACUUUGAAAAGAGAGUUAAACAGUACGUGAAAUUGUUGAAAGGGAAACGAUUGAAGCCAGUCGUACCUUCGGGUAAUCAGCCUUUUGGGUGUGAUUCUGUGGAGCGUGAGGAGUUUUAACACCUUCAUGCUUUGCAUAUUCAUGCUCUUGGGUGUACUUGCCCGUGUGGUUGGUUAACAUCAAUUUCGUGCACCAUAAAAUGGCUGGAGGAAUGUAGCUUCGAUCUUCUAUUGAAGUGUUAUAGCCUUCGGUAGAUGUGGUGAUCGAGAUUGAGGAUUGCAACGGAUACCUUUCGGGGCUACCAGUCUGAUCUCUGAUCGUUGCUUUGGUGCUGAGAGCGUGCUUAUAGUUAUCAAAGUCGAUGGUUAAUAGGUUAGAAUGUGUUAAAUUCAUUAGGGUUGUUGACGUCUUGAAACACGGACCA
rnacentral:rRNA from 1 species